GCGGUGUGUUCCGUCUUCUCAUUGCGGACCGAAUUCCCCUGGACGUUCGCCCUCAGAGGCGGGGCUCGGCACGAAAAGCAUCCGUGGAGCUCAAGUAUGAUGUGAAACCAGGCUCAGGGUCCACCUGUCCUCGCUGAUCCAUGGAUUUCUGUGUGACCAGGUUACACCUAUGGAGCCGUGGCCCCAACUACCACCAGUGAGUAUUCCUGGCCCUGGUCUCCUGUGUCCCGUCUGCAUUUGUAGUUUGGGAGCAC